UGCAUGUGACCUCGCAACGACAACCUGGUUUCGAUACUCGGCUGUCACAAUAUUCAGGUGUAUCGACCGAGCAAGUUCAUAACUGUUACACGUGUACUUUGUUGUUAAUUGUCUGAAGACAUCGAUAUAAACUUAACAGCAUGUGAUGGUGUCAGUGAAUGCACUCGUAUUUUUUUUCACUCAUGAAAGGUGUAAUUUCCCCAUUGUAUUUUUGGAUAGUGAUGCAAUUCACAUUUUUCCCAGCGCUAAGUCAACACUUUCAGAUCUAUUCCAGGGCACACGACUCUUCAUGCUCCAUUGAGACAAUCCACAGGUGCAUUCAUCUAUACUAUUUAUAUUUUUCACCAUAUGACAUGCACCAUCAAAAAGUGUAGGUAGAGACGUAGAGUAUCUCUGUCUGGCUAAGCCUAUACAUUCUCCCCUCUAGAUGGACGAUUUAGGUAAAUGCACUUCCUCCUUUAACCGAGAGAAAGUAUAUUCUUCAAUAACAGAAUUUUUAUGGUUGAGUGAUUGUCCGACGAGAUGACUGACAAUUGGAUGGAUAUUUCAGUGGAGAAUGGGUUGAAAGAUAAACAUGAAAAUCUAGGAUUUUUACUCUGAAACCUCUUAUCCUGGAUGUUAUUUCGCAAUUAACAAAUCAUAAAAGGUCAACUUAUCACGUUUUACCACUUGAAAACUGGAAUUAUCUCGAUGUGGACUAUGCAAACUUGAUGAAAAAAAAUAACUAAAAAUAGAGUUGUUUGAAUAUCAAAAGGUGGAAUCAAUCAAAUCAUCAAACGUCUGGGAACGCUUCCAAUUAGUCUCAGUAUUCUACUCCACCUGCCUGUAACAAUAUUGGAGAUCUCAACGGAAGAUGGAUUGCCCCGAUGGAAAAAAGAAAAGCCAACGAGAAUGAGAGUUUAUUGGGGGUGGGCACCUCUGCCAAGUAAAAACAAUAGCGAAACUUAUUUAGUAUGCAAAGGGAUUGGCUCGACCUAUCGUUCCAGCCGCGCCCAAUGCAUUCAAUCAAAAGCCAAAAGGGAAAAAAAAAAUCUUAAAUAUGAGAGAUCGAUCGGGACGAGAAAUCGAACAAUAAAUAGAAGUUAUAGAGGCAGAUAAUUACAUAAUAAAUUGUGUGAAGGAGAUAAUGAUCCUGAUACAUAUAUAUUCAUUGUAAACGAUGUGGAGACGAGAGUGGUCGUUACGCAUUCGUCUUGAACGGUCUGAAGAGGAUUAUGAUAUUUAUGAAUUCGUAAUUCACGGACCAUAGACUUCCUGAGGAUGAUGAUGUUUGCACUGGGUAUCUGAUGUACGUGGAGAGAAUUAAAUAAGAGAGAAACUGUCUAUGAAAAUUGCUGAGGACAUCUGGAAACUUCUUCACAAAUUACGGAAAAUAAUUGACUCUUUGCAUAGCAAUGUUUGUCCCAUGGGCCCAUAUGGUUGUAUGCAUCCAUGUGGUUGUUUAGUGGUGAUACCUGGGACAGAAUUCACUAAAUUUGAAAUAUGAUUUUUCUGUCUGUUCUGAGACUCUCCUGAAGGGUUUUUUCAAUAAGAGACAUAAAAGUGAUUUUAAAAAAUCUCGAAGAACAAACAGUUGUAUUUGUUACUAUUCAGCAACUAUAUGUUCAGCUGUAUUUCUAUAUUUUAUAGUUAAUCAGUAAUUGGAAAAAUCGGAUGAAAUUGUUUAAUCAGAGAAUUUUUAAUUUUCAUGAGUUAUACCUAAUUAUUGUGUAAUUGAAUUAAUUUUUUUUGGCUUUAGACUCCUGUUUGUAUUCCUGACAAGGUAUGCCAAGUGUGAAACUGUCAAGGAAUUUAUUUAUAGACUUAGCCACUCAACUCGUUCGUCAAAAACAGCAAUUUGGGUUAACGCAUUCCUCCCCAUGGCAAAGGAUAUGGGAGAAUGAAUUCUCAGUUAGCAUUCGUAUUCAGUAUGUUAUGUAUAGUAGUACGCGAAAUGAGAUGUAAUUUUAACGACGGUGGAUGGAGAAGGCUAAUGCACAUCAUUAAAAUGAAUUGUACGCAAUUAUUUUAAGACAUUAAUCAUGCAAUUUUAUCCAUAGAACCUGUUUCCUAAUAUUUCGUAUUAUUAUCCAGAGCGAGAGAAUUAUUACAUUAAAUUCCCAGCGUUUUUUUUUCGCAAAAUUCCUCAUCUCAAUAAAAAUACAAAUAGAAGUUUGUUUUCAAUGAUAAGUUACACAAGGAGACAACGAUAAUCGUUGUUUAUCGUGUACACAUGCACAUACAAAAAUAAAUAGGAUAAAAUGACUGAAAACAGCAAAGAAUAGAGUGUAAGGGAAAGGAGUCCUGCUAAUUUCCAUAUCCUGUCGCACCCACCAGAAGAAAAAAAAAAUUUGAAAAAAGCGUAACGGAUGUUGAGGAAACUCCUCAAUUUGUUAAUUUUUUAAAGCCCCUUUCUUGCUCUAGUUUUUUUUUUAAUCAAACGAUUGAUCGCCGGCACACGGAUAUCAGUGGAAAGUCCCAGGAGUGAACAGACCCGAUCCCAUACGAUUUAUCGUUCACUUGAAUCUCCGGGGGGGGCAGGCUCAAGCCAACGGUUAGGCUUCAGCUACCUGUACCUGUAUUACUGGCUUUUAAUUACAUACAUUUCAGUCAUCCAGCAAAGUGUUACGCUCUGCUGAUUCUCUGUGAUAUACCCAUCGAUUAAUGGGGCUAAAAUUUUUGUUCAAUUCCUCCUAGACAUGUUUGUUACGUUCGUUCCAAAUUCGACUCAUCACUGAUGCAAACUUUAUCGUGAAGAUUAACUGUUAGGGAGCGGUUUGGGACGAUGAGGCAUUCAUUCAAUUAAUCAGCAUUUAGAAAGUGAAUCGUGAACUGAAAAUUCUCAAGGAGAGAGGAAAAUUGAUUCGUUGCAAGUGAAUAAUAAUAAUAACAGUAUACACUUUUUGUAAACAUUUAAAGUAAAAAAUUUGUGUUAAUUCAUGUGUAGAAUUCUGCUAAAUUUGUAUUUAAAAUUUUUUUUUUUUUUGAUGAGUAAAAUAUCUACGAGACAUUUAUAUAAAAUUGAAGGGGUAAAACAGGUGAAAAUUUAUAGGGAGAAUUCAUGAUUCCACAUCAACAACAGAAUCUGCACUAUUGAAUUAACAUUCACGAAUUUUUCCUCAAUUUUGAAUGGCGCCCAGAUGAUCACGAGCUUGACGUUUAUUUGACGCUCUGUUAAACAGUCUGUUUGCUGGAAGAUCGAUAAUGGGAAACUAAUGGGUGUAUUCAUGAAUUCAGGAUUGUGGAAGGAGAAAUGACAAAACAGCAAUCGAAAUUACGAGUCUGAAUUCUAAUGGAAGAAUAGAGGACUCUACAAUUCAGACGGUUAUGUAGCUCAUGACGACGAUAAAAGUCAUUACGGAAGUUUGAAAUCAGGAAAAUAUAAAAUAUUCUAAUUUCAUAGAGCUGAUUACUCAAAAAAUUAAGGUGAGCGAUAAUGCUGAACCUGCUUGGACUGUCGAUAGUCUCAAGAAAGUUGCAUUGAUACGAAAUGGAAAAAAAUGAUGCGACCGGUUUUGACUCUGAGGAAAGGAUUACCGACCACUGUCUACAAAAUAAAAGGCCCAAGGGAGCUGAUGAUGCAUCUGAAGAUAUAAAAGCCACGAUAAUUGGAAAAUGGAGCAGAACUGAUGCUAACUGGCAUGACGAAAUGAAGAGACAAGGAAGUUAUUCAACUCUGGUGGCAAGCAUGCACAGUGUCCAAGUUCAUUGCACCCUGUCGAUUGCUGUAACGUCAGCAAUUAGUGUAAUUACCUGCUGUCCAGACUCCACUGUUAUCUCUUUGGUACUGGACACUUUUGCCGGAAGCAUUCAGCACUUGAGGAGAUAUUAUAGAUCAGAUGAUGCUUAAUAGACAUGUGUCAGCAAAUCAAUCUUUUUAUUAUUUCGUCUAUUAUUUUGUUGAGAUGUCCUAGUAUUUUACGAAGACAAUUAAGCUCAAAACUUUAUCAAGCGUUGACUUUUGCGAGAUCAAAUUAACUAAUUUGUUCAAAUAUUUUUCUACUAAUUUCUCCUCUGAUUAAUUUGUCAAUUUAAUGAUCACUCGAUCGAUUGGUAGAUAAAUAAUUAAGAAGAAGUAUCAUCUGAAAAUAAUGCUGUUGCUCCAAACCUAAUCUUUUAUACUACUCUGAGCUGAUAUCGAUAAAUAAAAUAAUAAAAAUUAAAAAUAAA